GUCAAGUCUAAGGUAGCAUCUGUCUGUGUGCUUAUUUUUCAAAGCCACCUGCUGCCACACUCCGGGGAUUCCCCGGGGCUGCCGUAGAGCGGGCAUCUCCAGCACAGCCACUUUUCGGCACGGAGGAGCUUAACGUCCUCCGAGCUCCUCUUUGACACUUUGUUUCAAGUAGUAGUGAGGUGACCUCCUCUAUCCCACGGAAGGGAUUCAGAUAGCAAAGCCAUUUCCUUUUCUUGACUCUCUAGCCUUGAAAGUUAUUUAAUUAGCAACACUUUCAGCACAUCUGGGUUUUAGGAGGGGCCCUUUGGAGACUGAGCACUUCUCCCUCCUUUUGUGAAAUUGUCCGUGUGGGGGGGGGUCACCUCUUCCCCUGAGCAGUCCCGCUCAGGCUGUUGGGAGAGUGGCACAGGGCUGUGAGAGAGACCUGGCACCGAGAGGCCAGAUCCCACACCUUCCAUCUCUCCCUGGCACACCUGCCUGGCUUCUGCUCAGGGCUUUCCUGCUCUCUGGGCCUCCUCUGUGUAGGGUGUGGCUUGAUCUGUCCAGGCCCCGUGGUGUAGGCAUUGUGGGAGUCCAGGGAGGUCAGCAAGUGGAAGGAGAGCCUUCGCCUGCAAGGCCACCAGCCGUUUCCAGGCCUCCGCCCUCCCGUCCUGCAAUGCCACGCAUAGCAGCAGGUGAAGGAUUCUCUGCAUCGCAUGCCGUCUGCUCGGAGGAGCCCCAGGCUGCUAGCACUUCUGGCCUGGCCCUAGAUGAGAAGAAGCAUCUACAGACAGGGUCACAGCCAAACCCCUUGGCUCGGUACAUUUGCCCUUAACCUUAACUCUGAACCCACCUCAUUUCUUUCCCUCCCCCGACUAACAGUUCAUGCCUCAGCCACACAGCAGUUGUGGGGUCCUCCAUAUCUGUGUUCCCACAGACACACUGCACGGGGAAGCAGAAGUCAUCAUAACAUGAAAAUAUGCACGAAUAAACUCAUUGCUGGUGUCCAGCCCACCCAUAUCUGAUGAUAAUCAGUCAUUUUCUGAUGGCCAAACGUAAAAAUCUGUCAGUCUGGGGCAAGAAUAGCAGAAACUCUUCACUAACCUUUGUUUGCCUCCUUCCCUGGGGAGGGGUACGCCCGUUCUCUUGGUGCAGCAGACUGCGUGAGGCCCCCAGUUCACUGAAGGCUCGGGGCUGGUGGGCUACUUACAAGUCCAGCUUUCCAGAUUAAAAAAUUUGGUCUGCUCCUGACUAGCUGUGUGACCUUGGGUAAGUUGCAUAACCUCUCUGUGCCCAUAUGCUUCAUCUGUAAAACUAGACCUAAUAUGAGCGCCUGCCUUCUAGGGUGUUUAUGAGCUAAUGAGUUAAUACACGUAAAGAGUUAGAGCAGUGUUUUCCGGGGCAUGCGACAAACACCCGUUAAACAUUAGCUGUUGAUACUGGUGCGCCAGGAGGCCUUUCCGACUCUUUGAUUUCUGCGCUGGCCAAAAGUUAGCCGUGUUGGUAAUUAAAUAUUACAUAACCUGGAGAAAAUUGAAGUGUAAAGAGAGUCAUUGCAUGAAAACAAAGUUUGGUACUCUGGAAAGAAUGUGUAACACUGAUUUGCUAAAAAGUUGUUGCUGAAUCACCAAGGGGCAAAACAGCUGUAAAAGAUACACAGAAAAACGGUAGUACAGCUCGGAGUCUGUGUUCCAUGUGCUUUGCAGAUGACCUACUUCCGCACUCCUCUGAAGCAGUGGAAAUCAGCAACUGUAGAUGCUGCAUGCAAAGCUGGCAAGAGUGAAGGACGCGGCAUCUCCUGGGCUGUGGAGAAACCGAGUCCCUCUCCAGACUGUGGACUGCUCCCUCCGCUCUCGAGUUACCAACUACCCUCCACUGCCUUCCCUCGCCUGAUGAGAAGUGCCUGGGUGAAGGCUGUCAUCACAGUUGACUGAGAUGAUUUACUUUUGUCCAGGAAAUCUUUCCUCCAGCUCUGGCCUUGCAAUUAUGCAAAAAAAGAGGGAAAGUUAAUAAAGAUGCAUAACGUGAAUCUAA